rnacentral:rRNA from 1 species
AACGAACGCUGGCGGCAUGCCUAAAACAUGCAAGUCGAACGAGCCGUAUACGGUGAGUGGCUCACGGGAGAGUACCACGUUGGAGUAUACAUUUCGUUAAGGAAUCAAGUAGAGAAAUUUACGCUCAUACCUUAUAAAGACUACGGGCCAAAGAUUUAUCGCCGAAGGAUUAGCCCGCGUUGGAUUAGGUAGUUGGUGAGGGAAUGGCUCACCAAGGCUACGCUCUAUAGCUGGUCUUAGAGGAUGAUCAGCCACACUGGGACUGAGACACGGCCCAGACUCCUACGGGAGGCAGCAGUUAGGAAUAUUGCGCAAUGGGGGAAACCCUGACGCAGCCAUGCCGCGUGAGUGAAGAAGUCCUUAGGUUUGUAAAGCUCUUUCAGAUGGAAAGAUAAUGACGGUACCUUAAGAAGAAGCUCCGGCUAAAUUCGUGCCAGCAGCCGCCGUAA